CGGGAUGUAGCGCAGUUGGUAGCGCACUACGUUCGGGACGUAGGAGUCGCCAGUUCGAGUCUGGUCAUCCCGACCA
rnacentral:tRNA from 1 species